UUCUGACAGACCACUAUGCAGUCCAACGAACACCCGAAGCAAGUGAAGGACCUGCCGCCAAAGUGCCGCCGAAGACCCAGAGCGCCGCCGGACUGUGCAAAGAUAUCAUCAGACACAGAGGACUCCAACUCUGGCCAUGCAGUGGUAAGAAGGAACUGGAGAGGCAGCGUCUAUUCUGGGAUUUAUAUGAGGAAUUAAGUAAUCGUGCAAACUACAGAGUAAUACCCUACAACGUAUCUUGAUGGAGCUCUUGCUAAACAAAAUUGUUCUGAGGGCCUUCUUUCCCAUCUCUUCCAUCUCUGCCUGGUAAUCCGUUCUGAGCAGGUCCACAUACAACUACUGCACAUGCACUUAGAUCCCAUUUUUGAACACUC